AGUGAACGCUGGCGGUAGGCCUAGCACAUGCAAGUCGAACGGCAGCACAGUAAGAGCUUGCUCUUACGGGUGGCGAGUGGCGGACGGGUGAGGAAUACAUCGGAAUCUACUUUUUCGUGGGGGAUAACGUAGGGAAACUUACGCUAAUACCGCAUACGACCUACGGGUGAAAGCAGGGGAUCUUCGGACCUUGCGCGAUUGAAUGAGCCGAUGUCGGAUUAGCUAGUUGGCGGGGUAAAGGCCCACCAAGGCGACGAUCCGUAGCUGGUCUGAGAGGAUGAUCAGCCACACUGGAACUGAGACACGGUCCAGACUCCUAAGGGAGGCAGCAGUGGGGAAUUUUGGACAAUGGGCGCAAGCCUGAUCCAGCCAUACCGCGUGUGUGAAGAAGGCCUUCGAGUUGUAAAGCCCUUUUGUUGGGAAAGAAAAGCAGCAGGUUAAUACCACGCUGUUCUGACGGUACCCAAAGAAUAAGCACCGGCUAACUUCGUG
rnacentral:rRNA from 1 species